rnacentral:rRNA from 1 species
UACGGAGGGUGCAAGCGUUGUCCGGAUUUAUUGGGUUUAAAGGGUGCGUAGGCGGCCCGUUAAGUCAGUGGUGAAAGCCUCCAGCUCAACUGGAGAACUGCCAUUGAUACUGACGGGCUUGAGUACAGACGAGGUUGGCGGAAUUGAUUGUGUAGCGGUGAAAUGCAUAGAUACAAUCAAGAACUCCGGUUGCGUAGGCAGCUAACUAGGCUGUAACUGACGCUGAGGCACGAAAGCGUGGGGAGCGAACAGG